rfam:Thioclava sp. SK-1 scaffold74_cov2058_read209, whole genome shotgun sequence.
CGCGUAUUUUGCGAUGGCGGAGUUCGACCGCAGGUCGAAGUGAUGGUCAAGUUCAUUGAUGACCAUCGCGGUGCGCAUGGGGUCGAACCGAUCUGCGAGACACUGCCGAUUGCCCCU